CAUUCAGUAGCCUAGCUACUUGUUUACACCCUUGUUUUUUGCGUACCUAUUGUUUCCUCGGCGGGCUUGCCCGCCGGCUGGACAGUACUAUAACUCUUUUAAAUCUUCAAUCAGCGUCUGAAUUAUUUAUAAUAAUUA
rnacentral:misc_RNA from 1 species